rnacentral:rRNA from 1 species
UACGUAGGGUGCGAGCGUUGUCCGGAAUUAUUGGGCGUAAAGGGCUCGUAGGCGGUCUGUCGCGUCGGCUGUGAAAACCCGGGGCUCAACCCCGGGCCUGCAGUCGAUACGGGCAGACUAGAGUGUGGUAGGGGAGACUGGAAUUCCUGGUGUAGCGGUGAAAUGCGCAGAUAUCAGGAGGAACACCGGUGGCGAAGGCGGGUCUCUGGGCCAUAACUGACGCUGAGGAGCGAAAGCGUGGGGAGCAAACAGG